ACCAGCAGCUACAUCACCUGCAGCUCAGACUGGGUAAUCCACCUGAAGCUGAGCAGGUUUGGGCCUGGCCAGUACUUGGAUGGAAGACCAACUAGGAAAGUUGGGUUGCUGCUGGGG
rnacentral:rRNA from 1 species